rnacentral:rRNA from 1 species
GGUUAAGCGACUAAGCGUACACGGUGGAUGCCCUGGCAGUCAGAGGCGAUGAAGGACGUGCUAAUCUGCGAAAAGCGUCGGUAAGGUGAUAUGAACCGUUAUAACCGGCGAUGUCCGAAUGGGGAAACCCAGUGCAAUUCGUUGCACUAUCGUUAACUGAAUACAUAGGUUAACGAGGCGAACCGGGGGAACUGAAACAUCUAAGUACCCCGAGGAAAAGAAAUCAACCGAGAUUCCCCCAGUAGCGGCGAGCGAACGGGGAGCAGCCCAGAGUCUGAAUCAGCUUGUGUGUUAGUGGAACGGUCUGGAAAGUCCGACGGUACAGGGUGAUAGUCCCGUACACCAAAAUGCACAGGCUGUGAACUCGAAGAGUAGGGCGGGACACGUGGUAUCCUGUCUGAAUAUGGGGGGACCAUCCUCCAAGGCUAAAUACUCCUGACUGACCGAUAGUGAACCAGUACCGUGAGGGAAAGGCGAAAAGAACCCCGGCGAGGGGAGUGAAAAAGAACCUGAAACCGUGUACGUACAAGCAGUGGGAGCACCUUCGGGUGUGACUGCGUACCUUUUGUAUAAUGGGUCAGCGACUUAUAUUCUGUAGCAAGGUUAACCGUAUAGGGGAGCCGCAGGGAAACCGAGUCUUAACUGGGCGUUAAGUUGCAGGGUAUAGACCCGAAACCCGGUGAUCUAGCCAUGGGCAGGUUGAAGGUUGGGUAACACUAACUGGAGGACCGAACCGACUAAUGUUGAAAAAUUAGCGGAUGACUUGUGGCUGGGGGUGAAAGGCCAAUCAAACCGGGAGAUAGCUGGUUCUCCCCGAAAGCUAUUUAGGUAGCGCCUCGUGAAUUCAUCUUCGGGGGUAGAGCACUGUUUCGGCUAGGGGGUCAUCCCGACUUACCAACCCGAUGCAAACUACGAAUACCGAAGAAUGUUAUCACGGGAGACACACGGCGGGUGCUAACGUCCGUCGUGAAGAGGGAAACAACCCAGACCGCCAGCUAAGGUCCCAAAGUCAUGGUUAAGUGGGAAACGAUGUGGGAAGGCACAGACAGCCAGGAUGUUGGCUUAGAAGCAGCCAUCAUUUAAAGAAAGCGUAAUAGCUCACUGGUCGAGUCGGCCUGCGCGGAAGAUGUAACGGGGCUAAACCAUGCACCGAAGCUGCGGCAGCGACACUAUGUGUUGUUGGGUAGGGGAGCGUUCUGUAAGCCUGCGAAGGUGACCUGUGAGGGUUGCUGGAGGUAUCAGAAGUGCGAAUGCUGACAUAAGUAACGAUAAAGCGGGUGAAAAGCCCGCUCGCCGGAAGACCAAGGGUUCCUGUCCAACGUUAAUCGGGGCAGGGUGAGUCGACCCCUAAGGCGAGGCCGAAAGGCGUAGUCGAUGGGAAACAGGUUAAUAUUCCUGUACUUGGUGUUACUGCGAAGGGGGGACGGAGAAGGCUAUGUUAGCCGGGCGACGGUUGUCCCGGUUUAAGCAUGUAGGCUGGUUAUCCAGGCAAAUCCGGAUAAUCAAGGCUGAGGUGUGAUGACGAGGCACUACGGUGCUGAAGUAACAAAUGCCCUGCUUCCAGGAAAAGCCUCUAAGCAUCAGGUAACAUCAAAUCGUACCCCAAACCGACACAGGUGGUCAGGUAGAGAAUACCAAGGCGCUUGAGAGAACUCGGGUGAAGGAACUAGGCAAAAUGGUGCCGUAACUUCGGGAGAAGGCACGCUGGUGUGUAGGUGAAGCCCCUGCGGGUGGAGCUGAGACCAGUCGAAGAUACCAGCUGGCUGCAACUGUUUAUUAAAAACACAGCACUGUGCAAACACGAAAGUGGACGUAUACGGUGUGACGCCUGCCCGGUGCCGGAAGGUUAAUUGAUGGGGUUAUCCGUAAGGAGAAGCUCUUGAUCGAAGCCCCGGUAAACGGCGGCCGUAACUAUAACGGUCCUAAGGUAGCGAAAUUCCUUGUCGGGUAAGUUCCGACCUGCACGAAUGGCGUAAUGAUGGCCAGGCUGUCUCCACCCGAGACUCAGUGAAAUUGAACUCGCUGUGAAGAUGCAGUGUACCCGCGGCAAGACGGAAAGACCCCGUGAACCUUUACUAUAGCUUGACACUGAACAUUGAGCCUUGAUGUGUAGGAUAGGUGGGAGGCUUUGAAGCGUGGACGCCAGUCUGCGUGGAGCCAACCUUGAAAUACCACCCUUUAAUGUUUGAUGUUCUAACGUUGGCCCCUGACCGGGGUUGCGGACAGUGUCUGGUGGGUAGUUUGACUGGGGCGGUCUCCUCCCAAAGCGUAACGGAGGAGCACGAAGGUUAGCUAAUCCUGGUCGGACAUCAGGAGGUUAGUGCAAUGGCAUAAGCUAGCUUGACUGCGAGCGUGACGGCGCGAGCAGGUGCGAAAGCAGGUCAUAGUGAUCCGGUGGUUCUGAAUGGAAGGGCCAUCGCUCAACGGAUAAAAGGUACUCCGGGGAUAACAGGCUGAUACCGCCCAAGAGUUCAUAUCGACGGCGGUGUUUGGCACCUCGAUGUCGGCUCAUCACAUCCUGGGGCUGAAGUAGGUCCCAAGGGUAUGGCUGUUCGCCAUUUAAAGUGGUACGCGAGCUGGGUUUAGAACGUCGUGAGACAGUUCGGUCCCUAUCUGCCGUGGGCGCUGGAGAAUUGAGGGGGGCUGCUCCUAGUACGAGAGGACCGGAGUGGACGCAUCACUGGUGUUCGGGUUGUCAUGCCAAUGGCACUGCCCGGUAGCUAAAUGCGGAAGAGAUAAGUGCUGAAAGCAUCUAAGCACGAAACUUGCCCCGAGAUGAGUUCUCCCUGAGACUUUAAGUCUCCUGAAGGAACGUUAAAGACGAUGACGUUGAUAGGCCGGGUGUGUAAGCGCAGCGAUGCGUUGAGCUAACCGGUACUAAUGAACCGUGAGGCUUAACCUU